UCCCAUAUAGUGUAGGGGUUAUCAUACCGCCCUCUCACGGCGGAGACCCCGGUUCGAUUCCGGGUAUGGGAG
rnacentral:tRNA from 1 species